rnacentral:sRNA from 1 species
UAUUUGUCUAUGUCAUU